rnacentral:rRNA from 1 species
GACGAACGCUGGCGGCGUGCUUAAUACAUGCAAGUCGAACGGAAAGGACCUGCUUUUGUGGUUUUCUCGAUUGCCGAACGGGGGAGUAAAACAUGAGGAACCUGCCCUUGACUUUGGGAUAACUUCAGGAAACUGGGGCUAAUAUCGGAUAUAAGCCCCUACUGCAUGGUGGGGUUUGUAAAGUUUCGGCGGUGGGGGUUGGACUCGCGGCGUAUCAGCGUGUUGGUGGGGGUGUGUCUUACCAAGGCUUUGACGGGUAGCCGGACUGAGAGGGUGACCGGCCACAUUGGGACUGAGAUAGGGCCAAGAGUCCUACGGGCGGAAGCAGUGGGGAUUAUUGGGCAAUGGGCGGAAGCAUGAUGCAGCAACGCCGCGUGGGGGAUGACGGCCUUCGGGUUGUAAACAGCUUUCGCCUGUGACGACGCGUGAGUGACGGUAAUGGGUAAAGAAGCCCCGGCUAACUACGUG